GAUGAAGAACGUAGCGAAAUGCGAUACGUAAUGUGAAUUGCAGAAAUCAGUGAAUCAUCGAAUCUUUGAACGCAUAUUGCGCUCUCUGGUAUUCCGGAGAGCAUGCUUGUUUGAGUAUCAGUAAACACCUCAACUUCCAUAUCUUUUUUGAAAUGGGAGUUGGACUUGAGUGAUCCCAACGCUUUUCCUCACCGAAAAGUGGCGGGUUACUUGAAAUGCAGGUGCAGCUGGACUUUUCUCUGAGCUAUAAGCAUAUCUAUUUAGUCUGCCUAAAAAACAGAUUAUUACCUUUGCUGCAGCUAACAUAAAGGAGAUUAGUUCUUGUGCUGACUGAUGCAGGAUUCACAAAGACAGGCUUCGGCCGACUUUGUAAACUCGAUCUCAAAUCAAGUAAGACUACCCGCUGAACUUAAGCAUAUCAAUAAGCGGAGGA
rnacentral:misc_RNA from 1 species